rnacentral:rRNA from 1 species
AUUGAACGCUGGCGGCAGGCCUAACACAUGCAAGUCGAGCGGCAGCGGGAAAGUAGCUUGCUACUUUUGCCGGCGAGCGGCGGACGGGUGAGUAAUGCCUGGGAAAUUGCCCAGUCGAGGGGGAUAACAGUUGGAAACGACUGCUAAUACCGCAUACGCCCUACGGGGGAAAGCAGGGGACCUUCGGGCCUUGCGCGAUUGGAUAUGCCCAGGUGGGAUUAGCUAGUUGGUGAGGUAAUGGCUCACCAAGGCGACGAUCCCUAGCUGGUCUGAGAGGAUGAUCAGCCACACUGGAACUGAGACACGGUCCAGACUCCUACGGGAGGCAGCAGUGGGGAAUAUUGCACAAUGGGGGAAACCCUGAUGCAGCCAUGCUGCGUGUGUGAAGAAGGCCUUCGGGUUGUAAAGCACUUUCAGCGAGGAGGAAAGGUUGAUACCUAAUACGUAUCAGCUGUGACGUUACUCGCAGAAGAAGCACCGGCUAACUCCGUGCCAGCAGCCGCUGUAAAAC